rnacentral:rRNA from 1 species
GAUGUGAAGUAAAGAUUUAUCGGUUAUGGAUGGGGAUGCGUCUGAUUAGCUUGUUGGCGGGGUAACGGCCCACCAAGGCAACGAUCAGUAGGGGUUCUGAGAGGAAGGUCCCCCACAUUGGAACUGAGACACGGUCCAAACUCCUACGGGAGGCAGCAGUGAGGAAUAUUGGUCAAUGGGCGAGAGCCUGAACCAGCCAAGUAGCGUGCAGGAUGACGGCCCUAUGGGUUGUAAACUGCUUUUGUAUGGGGAUAAAGUCAGUCACGUGUGAUUGUUUGCAGGUACCAUACGAAUAAGGACCGGCUAAUUCCGUGCCAGCAGCCGCGGUAAUACGGAAGGUCCGGGCGUUAUCCGGAUUUAUUGGGUUUAAAGGGAGCGUAGGCUGGAGAUUAAGUGUGUUGUGAAAUGUAGACGCUCAACGUCUGAAUUGCAGCGCAUACUGGUUUCCUUGAGUACGCACAACGUUGGCGGAAUUCGUCGUGUAGCGGUGAAAUGCUUAGAUAUGACGAAGAACUCCGAUUGCGAAGGCAGCUGACGGGAGCGCAACUGACGCUUAAGCUCGAAGGUGCGGGUAUCAAACAGGAUUAGAUACCCUGGUAGUCCGCACAGUAAACGAUGGAUGCCCGCUGUUGGUACCUGGUAUCAGCGGCUAAGCGAAAGCAUUAAGCAUCCCACCUGGGG